AUUGAACGCUGGCGGCAGGCCUAACACAUGCAAGUCGAACGAGUGGCGGACGGGUGAGGAAUGUCUGGGAAACUGCCAGAUGGAGGGGGAUAACUACUGGAAACGGUAGCUAAUCCCGCAUAACAUCCGAUGUGCCCAGAUGGGAUUAGCUAGUAGGUGGGGAAACGGCUCACCAAGGCGACGAUCCCUAGCUGGUCUGAGAGGAUGACCAGCCAAACUGGAACUGAGACACGGUCCAGACUCCGACGGGAGGCAGCAGUGGGGAAUAUGGCACAAUGGGCGCAAGCCUGAUGCAGCCAGGCCGCGUGUAUGAAGAAGGCCUUCGGGUUGUAAAGUACGUUCAGCGGGGAGGCGUUACCCGCAGAAGAAGCACCGGCUAACUCCGUGCCAGCAGCCGCGGUAAUAC
rnacentral:rRNA from 1 species